UAAUACGGAGGAUGCAAGCGUUAUCCGGAUUCAUUGGGUUUAAAGGGUGCGCAGGCGGAAUAAUAAGUCAGCGGUGAAAGCCUACAGCUUAACUGUAGAACUGCCAUUGAUACUGUUAUUCUUGAGUGUUGUUGAGGUAGGCGGAAUGUGUCAUGUAGCGGUGAAAUGCUUAGAUAUGACACAGAACACCGAUCGCGAAGGCAGCUUACCAAGCAACAACUGACGCUCAUGCACGAAAGCGUGGGGAUCAAACAGGAUUAGAUACCCUGGUAGUCCACGCCGUAAACGAUGAUCACUCGAUGUUGGCGAUACACAGUCAGCGUCUUAGCGAAAGUAUUAAGUGAUCCACCUGGGGAGUACGGUCGCAAGAUUGAAACUCAAAUGAAUUGACGG
rnacentral:rRNA from 1 species